AGUUUGAACCCCCGAAACUAAGUGAGCUACUUCAGGAUAGUAUUAAGAACAAACCCGUCUCUGUUGCAAAAGAGUGGGAUAAUCCUCAAGUAGAGGCGACAAACCUACCGCACUUAGAGAUAGCUGGUUAUUCAAGAAAAGAAUUUAAGUUCAACCCUAAGUUUUAAAAUUAAACAAAAAUAUAAGACUUUAGAGCUAUUCAAAUAAGGCACAGCUUAUUUGAAACAGAACACAACCUACAACACAGGGUAAUAUUUAUUUAACAAAUAACAAGUAGGCCUAAAAGCAGCCACCUUCAAAAAAACGUUAAAGCUUAGUAUUAUUUUAUCCUAAUUCCUUCUCCUACCACUAACCCUUCACCCAUAUUGAGUAACUCCAUAAACUUAUGGAAACUAUUAUGCUAGAACUAGUAACAAGAAAUAGACUUUCUCCUAAAUGUUAGUUUAAGCCACAAUAGACAAACUACCGGCAAUUAACGCAAAUGAACAUAUUACAGCAACCUCUAACAAGAAAACCCUAUACCAACACAACGUCACCCUUACACCAGAACAUUGAAGGAAAGAUUAAAAGA
rnacentral:rRNA from 1 species